rnacentral:rRNA from 1 species
GAUUACGCCAUGCAUGUCUGAGUACGUGCCGCAAACAAGGCGAAACCGCGAAUGGCUCAUUAAAUCAGUUAUGGUUCCUUAGAUCGUACCUCGUUACUUGGAUAACUGUGGUAAUUCCAGAGCUAAUACAUGCAGCCGAGCUCCGACCCCUCCGGGGGGACGAGCGCUUUUAUUAGACCAAGACCAGCCGGACCCUCGCGGGCUCCGAGACCGGUGGUGACUCUGUGUAACUUUGGGCCGAUCGCACGGGCUCGUCCCGGCGACGCAUCUUUCAAGUGUCUGCCUUAUCAACUGUCGACGGUAGGCCACGCGCCUACCGUGGUCGUAACGGGUGACGGGGAAUCAGGGUUCGAUUCCGGAGAGGGAGCCUGAGAAACGGCUACCACAUCCAAGGAAGGCAGCAGGCGCGCAAAUUACCCACUCCCGGCACGGGGAGGUAGUGACGAAAAAUAGCGAUGCGGGACUCGUACGAGACCCCGUAAUCGGAAUGAGCACGAUCCAAACCCUCUAGCGAGGAUCCAUUGGAGGGCUAGUCUGGUGCCAGCAGCCGCGGUAACACCAGUUCCAAUAGCGUAUACUAAAGUUGUUGCGGUUAAAAAGCUCGUAGUUGGAUCUCAGUUCCAGACGGGCGGCCCUCCUCGCGGAGGCCACCGCCCGGCCUGAACAGCCUGCCGGUUUCCCCCGAUGGCCUUCGCCGGCUGUCCCGGGUGACCGGCGCGUUUACUUUGAAAAAAUUGGAGUGCUCAGAGCAGGCGCCCUCCGCCUGGACAGUGGUGCAUGGAAUAAUGGAGUAGGACCUCGGUUCUAUUGCGUUGGUUUUCGGAACCCGAGGUAAUGGUUGAGAGGGACGGACGGGGGCAUUCGUACUGCGACGCUAGAGGUGAAAUUCUUGGACCGUCGCAAGACGAACUACUGCGAAAGCAUUUGCCAAGAAUGUUUCCAUUAAUCAAGAACGAAAGUUAGAGGUGCGAAGGCGAUCAGAUACCGCCCUAGUUCUAACCAUAAACGAUGCCAACCGGCGAUCCGCCUGGGUUCCUCAAAUGACCCGGCGGGCAGCUUCCGGGAAACCAAAGUCUUUGGGUUCCGGGGGAAGUAUGGUUGCAAAGCUCGAACUUAAAGGAAUUGACGGAUGGGCACCACCAGGCCUGGAGCAUGCGGCUCAAUUUGACUCAACACGGGGCAGCCCACCUAGCCAAGACUCCGGUAGGAUUGACAGAUUAAGAGCUCUUUCUUGAUUCGGCGGCGAGUGGUGCAUGGUCGUUCUUAGUUCGUGGUCUGAAUUGUCUGGUUAAUUCCGUUAACGAACGAGAUUCCAGCCUGCUAAAUAGGCGUCCCGAUCCCACGAGGUCGGGCGUCCCGUCUUCUUAGAGGGACCAGCGGCGUCCAGCCGCGCGAAACGGAGCAAUAACAGGUCUGUGAUGCCCUCAGAUGUCUAGGGCCGCACGCGCGCUACACUGGAGGAAUCAGCGUGUGCUCUCCCAGUCCGGAAGGACCGGGUAACCCGUUGAAACUCCUCCGUGAUGGGGAUAGGGGCUUGUAACUGUUCCCCUUGAACGAGGAAGGUCCAGUAAGCGCGAGUCACCAGCUCGCGCUGAUUACGUCCCUGCCCAUUGUUCACACCGCCCGUCGCUACUACCGAUUGAACGACCUAGUGAGGUCUUCCGACUGGCUCUCGGAGCGGUCCUCGCGGGCCGCGCCGGGGUGCCGGAAAGAUGCCCGAAUUCGGUCGCUUAGAGGAAGUAAAAGUCG